rnacentral:rRNA from 1 species
AAUCAACGCUGGCGGCGUGCCUCAGACAUGCAAGUCGAACGAUUAAACUUUCCUUCGGGAAAGAUAUAAAGUGGCGCACGGGUGAGUAACACGUAAGUAAUCUACCUUCGAGUGGGAGUAACGUUCGGAACGAACGCUAAUACCGCAUAAUGCAGCGGCACCUAAUGGUGACAGUUGUUAAAGGAGCAAUUCGCUUGAAGAGGAGCUUGCGGCAGAUUAG